UAUGAAAAUUAAGAAAGAAUCCAUAUAUGUCUGAUAUGAUGGUUCAGAUGUUUCUACGGAACACCGAUAAAGUUCCACUAUGGAUAAUCUUCUGGAAUGA
rnacentral:ncRNA from 2 species